UACGGAGGGUGCGAGCGUUGUCCGGAAUCAUUGGGCGUAAAGGGCGCGUAGGUGGCCCGGUCAGUUCGUGGUGAAAGCGCGGGGCUCAACCCUGCGUCGGCCAUGAAUACUGCCGCGGCUGGAGCACUGUAGAGGCAGGCGGAAUUCCGGGUGUAGCGGUGGAAUGCGUAGAGAUCCGGAAGAACACCGGUGGCGAAGGCGGCCUGCUGGCAGUUGCUGGACACUGAGGCGCGACAGCGUGGGGAGCGAACGAGGAUGAUGAAACCCC
rnacentral:rRNA from 1 species